GUGGGGAAUAUUGGUCAAUGGGCGGAAGCCUGAACCAGCCAUCCCGCGUGGAGGAAGACGGCCCUAUGGGUUGUAAACUUCUUUUCAAGGGGAAGAAAGUUCGCGACGUGUCGCGAUUUGCCGGUACCUUUGGAAUAAGCAUCGGCUAACUCCGUGCCAGCAGCCGCGGUAAUACGGAGGAUGCGAGCGUUAUCCGGAUUUAUUGGGUUUAAAGGGUGCGUAGGCCGAUCGAUAAGUCAGCGGUGAAAUACCAUGGCCCAACCAUGGAACUGCCGUUGAUACUGUCGGUCUUGAAUAUGGUCAAGGUAGGCGGAAUGUGUAAUGUAGCGGUGAAAUGCUUAGAUAUUACACAGAACACCGAUUGCGAAGGCAGCUUACUGGUCCAUUAUUGACGCUGAGGCACGAAAGCGUGGGGAUCGAACAGGAUUAGAUACCCCUGUAGUCC
rnacentral:rRNA from 1 species